GCUUACGGCCACACCACCCUGAGCGCGCCCUGCUCUCGUCUGAUCUCGGAAGCUAAGCAGGGUCGGGCCUGGUUAGUACUUGGAUGGGAGACCGCCUGGGAAUACCAGGUGCCGUAAGCU
rnacentral:rRNA from 1 species